rnacentral:rRNA from 1 species
CCCUUAGAUGUUCUGGGCUGCACGCGCGCUACACUGGUGCGUUCAGCGAGUUUAGCACCUUAACAGAUAUGUUUGGGUAAUCUUCUGAAAACGCACCGUGAUGGGGAUCGAUUAUUGUAAUUAUUAAUCGUCAACGAGGAAUUCCUAGUAAGUGUGAGUCAUCAGUUCGCGCUGAUUACGUCCCUGCCCUUUGUACACACCGCCCGUCGCUGCUACCGAUUGAGUGGUCCGGUGAAUUAUUCGGACCGGUGGACUGUGGGGAAACCCGCGGCCUGCUGGGAAGUCUUGUGAACCUUAUCACUUAGAGGAAGCAGAAGUCGUAACA